AUAAAGAGACGCAAACCUGGGUAAAGUAUAUUAUUUCCCGACCAGCAGGUACCGUGUUUGACCACUUGGCACCAAACGAUAACUUGUAUUCCGGAAUCCAGAAAAAGAAAAAGAUAACCGAUUUCACUAUAUAGGAAAAGUACCUCUUUGACAGUUCUCCAGGCGGCCGCGCGUUCCACUGCAUGUAUAGCCAAAACAGUUUAUUAAGAAGUGGAAUGAUUUACACGGGCCUCUGCGGUGGCUGAGUGGUUAGCGUGUCGGCCCCGCAUUUGCCGCGUUGUGGAUGAUGCGGGAUCGAAUCCGCCGCUACCACCUGGAAUUUUUCAGUCACCGCCGAGUGGCCUAAGACCACCAACAUCCUGUCCUGGCGGCGGAUGCUCAAACGGUCGUAUCUCAACAUUUGGUCCUAAAUCCGCCAUUGUGGUCGCAAGUGCUGCCCCGUGCGAUGUUCAAAAAACGUCCUAGACGCCAUCUUGUGACGUCAGGUCGCCCCUCAGCCUGACUGCUCGGGAGCGGGGCUAGAUCCGACCAGUUUCCGUCCUAGCCCGUCGCCAUUAAAGGAGUGUUUCCGCCUCAUCCACAUCUCCACCUCUAUACACAAUAUAAGAUGGAGCUUGUUGCGGCAUACAUUUUCAAUCGCAGACUGUGCAGGGAAAGGAGAUAUCGGGACCCACUCAACCCACUACAUGUCAGUGAUGAACACCUGUUGCAGGUGUAUAGAUUUCCCCGUCAAGAAAUCAUCAGGCUCUGUGAUGAGUUUCGCCCCCACCUGGAAAGGAGAACCAGGAGGGCACAUGCACUCCCAACACACACCCAGGAGACACUGCGUAUCCUCUGGAGCCAUUCCUGAUGACCCCAGUUGCACGGCCGACAACACCUGGG